AUAUUGCGCAAUGGGCGAAAGCCUGACGCAGCGACGCCGUGUGAGUUAGAAGGCCUUCGGGUCGUAAACCUCUGUCAGAAGGGAAGAACCCCCAAGGUUCGAGGGGGCUUUGGGCUGACGGUUCUUCAGAGGCACCGAAUUCCGUGCCAGCAGCCGCGGUAAUACGGAAGGUGCAAGUUAAUCGGAAUUACUGGGCGUAAAGCGCACGUAGGCUGCUUUGUAAGUCGGAUGUGAAAGCCCUCGGCCCAA
rnacentral:rRNA from 1 species